AUGAACGCUGGCGGCGUGCCUAAUACAUGCCAGUCGAGCGAACAGACGAGGAGCUUGCUCCUCUGACGUUAGCGGCGGACGGGUGAGUAACACGUGGAUAACCUACCUAUAAGACUGGGAUAACUUCGGGAAACCGGAGCUAAUACCGGAUAACAUGUUGAACCGCAUGGUUUAACAGUGAAAGACGGUCUUGCUGUCACUUAUAGAUGGAUCCGCGCCGCAUUAGCUAGUUGGUAAGGUAACGGCUUACCAAGGCAACGAUGCGUAGCCGACCUGAGAGGGUGAUCGGCCACACUGGAACUGAGACACGGUCCAGACUCCUACGGGAGGCAGCAGUAGGGAAUCUUCCGCAAUGGGCGAAAGCCUGACGGAGCAACGCCGCGUGAGUGAAGAAGGUCUUCGGAUCGUAAAACUCUGUUAUUAGGGAAGAACAAAUGUGUAAGUAACUAUGCACGUCUUGACGGUACCUAAUCAGAAAGCCACGGCUAACUACGUG
rnacentral:rRNA from 1 species